rnacentral:misc_RNA from 1 species
GAUUGAAGAACGCAGCGAAAUGCGAUAAGUAAUGUGAAUUGCAGAAUUCAGUGAAUCAUCGAAUCUUUGAACGCACAUUGCGCCCGCUAGUAUUCUGGCGGGCAUGCCUGUCCGAGCGUCAUUUCAACCCUCAAGCCCCCGGGCUUGGUGUUGGGGAUCGGCGAGCCUCCGCGCCCGCCGUCCCCUAAAUCUAGUGGCGGUCUCGCUGUAGCUUCCUCUGCGUAGUAGCACACCUCGCACUGGGAAACAGCGCGGCCACGCCGUUAAACCCCCAACUUCUGAACGUUUGACCUCGGAUCAGGUAGGAAUACCCGCUGAACUUAAGCAUAUCAUAAGCGGAGGA